rnacentral:rRNA from 1 species
GACGAACGCUGGCGGCGUGCCUAAUACAUGCAAGUCGAACGCAGUGGGGACGGGUGAGUAACACGUGGGUAACCUCCCAUCAGAGGGGAUAACACUUGGAAACAUGUGAUAAACCGCUCCUGAUGGAUGGACCCGCGGUGCAUUUGCUAGUUGGUGAGGUAACGGCUAACCAAGGCCACGAUGCAUCGCCGACCGGAGAGGUGGAUCGGCCUAAAUGGAGCUGAGACACGGCCCAGACUCCUACGGGAGGCAGCAUGAGGGAAGCUGCGGCAAUGGACGAUAGUCUGACCGAGCAACGCCGCGGGAGUGAAGAAGGUGUUCGGAUCGUAAAACUCUGUUGUUAGAGAAGCGGUAUCUAACCAGAAAGCCACGGCUAACUACGUGCCAGCCGCCGCGGUAAUUC